rnacentral:rRNA from 1 species
UACGAAAGGGGCUAGCGUUGUUCGGAAUUACUGGGCGUAAAGCGCACGUAGGCGGCUAUGUAAGUCGGGGGUGAAAUCCCGGGGCUCAACCCCUGAACUGCCUUCAAAACUGCAUAGCUAGAGGGUGUGAGAGGAUAGUGGAAUUGCGAGUGUAGAGGUGAAAUUCGUAGAUAUUCGGAAGAACACCGGUGGCGAAGGCGACUGUCUGGCACAUUUCUGACGCUGAGGUGCGAAAGCGUGGGGAGCAAACAGG